CUUUAUUUUCAAUUGAAACGAUUCUUAUUAUGUGAACAACUCAUCAACACAAAACUCAAAUUAACAUGGUGCCAGUAGCAUCUCACUAUUACGCAAUUCUUACCACCAUUUCCAUCUCCACCUCGACAUUAAUGAAAGACAAAUACUUUAUCUCCCCUAGAUUCUUUUCCUGUGAGAAGAUACGAUUUCAUUCAAAAUAAAGUAUAAAUCCAAAAAGUUUGGAAAUCCAAUUGCCG
rnacentral:lncRNA from 1 species